CCGGAGGGGCUGCCUGCAGACCGGUCCGGCUAUGUUUUAGAGACGCUGACCCGUAUGAGCAAGCAGGCCGACAGGCCGGAUUGGGAAUACGGGCAGAAUUGCGGGAGUGCGCAGCACGUAGCAAUUCGUGGGU
rnacentral:sRNA from 1 species